UUAGAGUUUGAUCCUGGCUCAAGAUGAACGCUGGCGGCGUGCUUAACACAUGCAAGUCGAACGAAGCGCCUCUCCCGAAGAUUGACACAGCUUGCUGUAGAUUGAUUCAUUUGAGGUGACUGAGUGGCGGACGGGUGAGUAACGCGUGGGUAACCUGCCUCAUAGAGGGGGACAACAGUUGGAAACGACUGCUAAUACCGCAUAGUAAGAAAGAUUCGCAUGUUUCUUUCUUGAAAGAUUUAUCGCUAUGAGAUGGACCCGCGUCUGAUUAGCUAGUUGGUAAGGUAACGGCUUACCAAGGCGACGAUCAGUAGCCGGCUUGAGAGAGUGAACGGCCACAUUGGGACUGAGACACGGCCCAAACUCCUACGGGAGGCAGCAGUGGGGAAUAUUGCACAAUGGGGGAAACCCUGAUGCAGCGACGCCGCGUGAGUGAAGAAGUAUUUCGGUAUGUAAAGCUCUAUCAGCAGGGAAGAUAAUGACGGUACCUGACUAAGAAGCCCCGGCUAACUACGUGCCAGCAGCCGCGGUAAUACGUAGGGGGCAAGCGUUAUCCGGAUUUACUGGGUGUAAAGGGUGCGUAGGUGGCAAGGCAAGUCAGAUGUGAAAGCCCGGGGCUCAACCCCGGUACUGCAUUUGAAACUGUCUAGCUAGAGUGCAGGAGAGGUAAGCGGAAUUCCUAGUGUAGCGGUGAAAUGCGUAGAUAUUAGGAGGAACACCAGUGGCGAAGGCGGCUUACUGGACUGUAACUGACACUGAGGCACGAAAGCGUGGGGAGCAAACAGGAUUAGAUACCCUGGUAGUCCACGCCGUAAAAGAUGGAAUACUAGGUGUCGGGGCCCACAGGGCUUCGGUGCCGCAGCAAACGCAUUAAGUUUUCCACCUGGGGAGUACGUUCGCAAGAAUGAAAACUCAAAGGAAUUGACGGGGACCCGCACAAGCGGUGGAGCAUGUGGUUUAAUUCGAAGCAACGCGAAGAACCUUACCAAGUCUUGACAUCCUUCUGACCGUUCCUUAGCCGGAACUUCUCUUCGGAGCAGAAGAGACAGGUGGUGCAUGGUUGUCGUCAGCUCGUGUCGUGAGAUGUUGGGUUAAGUCCCGCAACGAGCGCAACCCUUAUCCUUAGUAGCCAGCGGUUCGGCCGGGCACUCUGGGGAGACUGCCGGAGAUAAUCCGGAGGAAGGUGGGGAUGACGUCAAAUCAUCAUGCCCCUUAUGACUUGGGCUACACACGUGCUACAAUGGCGGUAACAAAGGGAAGCAGCCUCGCGAGAGUGAGCAAACCCCAAAAAUGCCGUCUCAGUUCGGAUUGUAGUCUGCAACUCGACUACAUGAAGCUGGAAUCGCUAGUAAUCGCAGAUCAGAAUGCUGCGGUGAAUACGUUCCCGGGUCUUGUAC
rnacentral:rRNA from 1 species